GCUACUACCAUACACUUCAGUGUGAGAUCUUGGAGAUCAGAUAUUUCUACCUACACUCCCAUCACUGAAUACUGACUUGCUGGAUUCACCUACAGUCUGAAAUCCAGUCGGGUUUGCCUCUAAUGGAAGCCUUCUUCUCUGAAUACGUGCGGUGUUUCAGAGCGCUCAUCUACGGUAUCGCACAUCUGUUGCAUUCCAAUAGCUUCCAUGUCACGACGUGUACAUGGAACCUUGGAAUCGUAAUCAGUUCGUAGUUCGGUCACCUCAACUACGGCUUUUGCUGCUGCCACUGCACAAUUGGCAGACUCAGCUGCAGAAGCUACAUCUGAUCUUUUUGUACAUCAGACUUGUGAUGUGGCAUCACAAUUAUAGAAUGCGUAUCAGUAUGAGUGUGUUAAAUUAGAGCAUGUCUGACAUGUGUAAGAUCAACACAUUGUGAUGCUUGUUAAUAUCAACUAUGCGAUAACAUCUUUACACCCCAACAAGAGGAUUUAGAGGCGCAGGUAACAAGUUUUGGCAUAGUUCCAGUAUUACGAAUAUUUCACAAUUUUACAUAGUGUCCUAGAGGUCUUAAAGUUUCCUGAUAGUUCUGAGAGUUCUUGAAGUAUUCUUGUUAUGAAUACUCCUGAACUAUGUUCUGUUUGUGAAGGAUGAUCGCCAAAAUAUACUUCAAAUAAUCGUUUCUCUCUGAAGAAU